UACGUAGGGGGGCAAGCGUUGUCCGGAUUCAUUGGGCGUAAAGAGCGUGUAGGCGCCAGGUAGGUCGGUUGUGAAAACUGGAGGCUCAACCUUCAGAGGUCGACCGAAACCAUCUGGCUAGAGUCCGGGAGAGGAGAGUGGAAUUCCUGGUGUAGCGGUGAAAUGCGCAGAUAUCAGGAAGAACACCCGUGGCGAAAGCGGCUCUCUGGAACGGUACUGACGGCUGAGACGCGAAAAGCCGUGGGGAGCGAACAGG
rnacentral:rRNA from 1 species